CUAACUAUGUUGCCAAGCAGCCGCGGGUAUUACAGAGGUUCUCCAAGCGUUGUUCGGAUUCAUUGGGCGUAAAGGGUCGUUAGGCGGCGCCGGUAAGUCGGGUGUGAAAUCUCGGAGCUUAACUCCGGAACCUGCAUUCGAUACUGCCGUGCUUGAAGGACUGGAGAGGAGACUGGAAUUUACGGUGUAGCGGUGAAAUGCGUAGAUAUCGUAAGGAAGACCAGUGGCGAAGGCGGGUCUCUGGACAGUUCCUGACGCUGAGGCACGAAGGCCAGGGGAGCAAACGGGAUUAGAUACCCCGGUAGUCCUGGCAGUAAAACGGUGCACGUUUGGUGUGGGAGGAUUCGACCCCUUCUGCGCCGGAGCUAACGCGUUAAACGUGCCGCCUGGGGAGUACGGUCGCAAGAUUAAAACUCAAAGAAAUUGACGGGGGCCCGCACAAGCGGUGGAGUAUGUGGCUCAAUUCGAUGCAACACGAAGAACCUUACCAGGCCUUGACAUGCAUCUCUAAGUUGGUGAAAGCCAGCGAGUCCCGAAAGGGACAAUUUGCACAGGUGCUGCAUGGCUGUCGUCAGCUCGUGUCGUGAGAUGUUGGGUUAAGUCCCGCAACGAGCGCAACCCCUGUGAACUGUUGCCACCGAGCCGUGAGGCUCGAGCACUCUGUUCAGACUGCCCCGCUCUAACGGGGAGGAAGGUGGGGACGACGUCAAGUCAGUAUGGCCCUUACGGCCUGGGCUGCACACGUACUACAAUGCCCAGUACAGAACGAUCCUAGACCGCGAGGUGGAGGAAAUCACUAAAACUGGGCCCAGUUCAGAUUGAAGUCUGCAACUCGACUUCAUGAAGCCGGAAUCGCUAGUAAUGGCGCAUCAGCUACGGCGCCGUGAAUACGUUCCCGGGCCUUGUACACACCGCCCGUCACAUCAUGGAAGUCGCUUGUAGCCGAAGCCGGCGUGCUAACCGCAAGGAGGCAGGCGCCCAAGGUAUGACUCAUGAUUGGGGUGAAGUCGUAACAAGGUA
rnacentral:rRNA from 1 species